rnacentral:lncRNA from 1 species
GUGAGAUAUAUUAUGAUCUCUAUCAUAAUAUCAUUGAAAACUCCUUUCAAUGGAUUGGAACGAUUCCAACUCUACUCAUUAGGGUUUAUCGAUCAUCGAGAUAAUCCCUGUGAGUCCCACUAUCCACCAGUGACACCUAGCAGCAUGUAGUGGCUACCCAGUAGAAUAGAAUGAUGAACCUCUAGGUGCAGUUACCAUGUGAUACAGUCUUACUAUCGUGGAUCCCUACAGGACGGAGGUCAUGGACAACUCGU